GGAAUAUUGGACAAUGGGGGAAACCCUGAUCCAGCCAUGCCGCGUGUGUGAAGAAGGCCUUCGGGUUGUAAAGCACUUUCAGUAGGGAGGAAAGCUUGAUGGCUAACAUCCAUCAGGAUUGACGUUACCUACAGAAGCAGCAUCGGCUAACUUCGUGCCAGCAGCCGCGGUAAUACGAAGGGUGCAAGCGUUAAUCGGAAUUACUGGGCGUAAAGCGCGCGUAGGCGGUUUGAUAAGUGAGAUGUGAAAUCCCCGGGCUCAACCUGGGAACUGCAUCUCAUACUGUCAGGCUAGAGUACGGUAGAGGGGGGUAGAAUUCCACGUGUAGCGGUGAAAUGCGUAGAGAUGUGGAGGAAUACCAGUGGCGAAGGCGGCCCCCUGGAUCGAUACUGACGCUGAGGUGCGAAAGCGUGGGGAGC
rnacentral:rRNA from 1 species